UUGAGCGGAGAUUAUGGAGCUUGCUUUAUAUAACUUAGCAGCGAACGGGUGAGUAACACGUAGAUAAUCUAUCCUAUACUGGGGGAUAGCCCGAUGAAAGUUGGAUUAAUACCGCAUAUAGCUAUAUAGUUGCAUGAUUAUGUAGUGAAAGAUUUAUUGGUAUAGGAGGAGUCUGCGGCACAUUAGCUAGUAGGUGAGGUAAAGGCUUACCUAGGCGACGAUGUGUAGCCGGUCUGAGAGGAUGAACGGCCACAAUGGAACUGAGACACGGUCCAUACUCCUACGGGAGGCAGCAGUGGGGAAUAUUGCACAAUGGGGGAAACCCUGAUGCAGCAACGCCGCGUGAGUGAAGAAGGUUUUCGGAUUGUAAAGCUCUGUUAGCAGGGAAGAGGAAGGACGGUACCUGCAGAGGAAGCCACGGCUAACUACGUGCCAGCAGCCGCGGUAAUACGUAGGUGGCAAGCGUUGUUCGGAAUAACUGGGCGUAAAGGAUGCGUAGGCGGUUAAACAAGUUAUAUGUUAAAUAUAUAGGCUUAACCUGUAGAAAGCAUAUAAAACUGUUUAACUAGAGUGCAGGAGAGGUAAGUGGAAUUCCUAGUGUAGCGGUGAAAUGCGUAGAGAUUAGGAAGAACACCAGUGGCGAAGGCGACUUACUGGACUGUAACUGACGCUGAGGCAUGAGAGCAUGGGGAGCAAACAGGAUUAGAUACCCUGGUAGU
rnacentral:rRNA from 1 species